CCCGCCCACCUCCACGCGGGGCCGCCCGCGCCAGUCAACUCCGCGCACCUUGCCCCUGCUUGGCAGCAGAUAAAACGGGGGCUGAGGCAAUACAGGAUACUGUCACCCACUGCCAGCUCUAGCCUUAAAUUCCCGGCUCCGGAACCUCCACGCGCUGCAGCUCGGGCCGGACACCCAUCCAGCGUGCACCGGCGAGCUCCGAAACCGAAGUCCCCCAGCGCCCGCUAACUCCGCUCCGCAGCCUCGGCCCCUGGAAAGUGAUCUCGGCAUCCGAGAGCCAAGAUGCGGGCCCACUUGCUGCAGGAGGAGAUCUCUAGCUCCUAUACCACCACCACCACCACAGCGCCUCCCUCCAAGGUCCCGCAGAAUGGAGGAGAUAAGUUGGAGAAGACACCCCUCUAUUUGGAAGAAGACAUUCGCCCUGAUAUAAAAGAUGAUAUAUAUGACCCCACCUACAAGGAUAAGGAAGGCCCAAGGCCCGAGGUUGAAUAUGUCUGGAGAAACAUCAUCCUGAUAUCUCUGCUACACUUGGGCUCCCUGUAUGGGAUCAUUUUGAUUCCUACCUACAAGUUCUACACCUGACUUUGGGGGUUAUUCUGUUAUUUUGUCAGUGUCAUGGGCAUAACAGCAGGAGUUCAUCGCCUGUGGAGCCACCAAACUUACAAAGCUCGGCUGCCCCUGCGGGUCUUUCUGAUCAUUGCCAAUACAAUGGCAUUCCAGAAUGAUGUCUUUGAAUGGGCUCGUGACCACCGUGCCCACCGUGCCCACCACAAGUUUUCAGAAACAGAUGCUGAUCCUCAUAAUUCCCGACGUGGCUUUUUCUUCUCUCACAUGGGCUGGCUGCUUGUGCCCAAACACCCAGGUGUCAAAGAGAAGGGCGGUACACUGGACUUGUCUGACCUAAAAGCUGAGAAACUGGUGAUGUUCCAGAGGAGGUACUACAAACCUGGCAUGCUGCUGAUGUGCUUCAUCCUGCCCACACUUGCGCCCUUUUAUUUCUGGGGUGAAACUUUUCAACACAGCUUGUACGUUGCCACUUUCUUGCGAUAUGCUGUAGUGCUUAAUGCCACCUGUCUGGUGAACAGCGCUGCCCACCUCUACGGAUAUCGUCCUUACGACAAGAACAUUAGCCCCCGGGAGAACGUCCUGGUUUCGCUUGGAGCUGUGGGUGAAGGCUUCCACAACUCACCACUCCUUUCCCUAUGACUACUCUGCCAGUGAGUACCGCUGGCACAUCAACGUAACCACAUUCUUCAUUGAUUGCAUGGCUGCCCUCGGUCUGGCCUAUGACCGGAAGAAAGUCUCCAAGGCCGCCAUCUUGGCCAGGAUUAAAACAAUUGGGGGUGGAAGCUACAAAAGUGGCUGAGUUUGGGGUCCCUCGGGUUCUUUUUCAAAGUCAGCCAGGCAGAGAGGUUUUAUGUCUGUUUAUUAACUACUGAAUAAUGCUACCAGGAUGCUAAAGAUGAUGACGUUAACCCGUUCCAGUACAGUAUUCUUUUAAAAUGCUAAAGUAUUGAAAGACAAGAACUCUGCCUUUAUGAUGCUAGGCUGAUAUUUUUUCUUCUAUCCUCUCUCUCUUCUAAGCCCAUUGUCCUCCUUUCACUUUGUUGCUAUCACCUUCCUUUCUCUUCUCAUUGCUUCCCAGGCAAGCAGCUGAUCAGUCAUUGUUCAGUGUGUAGCUUCCAAAGCCUAGACAACCUUUCUGUAGCAAGUAAUAGUCUUUGCUCCAAAUAACUCUCUUUCCUUGAGCUGUUGUGAGCUUUGAGGCCGGUGGCUCAAGCUAGAGAUAAAACAGAACCUGGACAGUUCCCUGUGAAUUAUCUUCAGCCCAGGCUUUUGCUAGAUGGAAUGGAAAAGUAACUUCAUUUGACACAAAGCUUCUAAAGCAGGUGAAUUGUGGGGGGAGGGAGUUAGCAUGUAUGGAUGUAAGGACCAGGGAAAUGAAGCAAGAGGAAGCUCUUGCCAUGAUCAGACAUGCAGCUGCCUACCUAGUGAGGACUUCAAGCCCCACCACACAGCAUGCUUCCUUUCUCUCCUGGCUUGGGGUAAGAAGUGGCUGUGGAGUUUGGCAAUGCUAAUCUCAAUGUGACAAUGUAUCGUUUAGGCUGAGGAUAAA